rnacentral:lncRNA from 1 species
AGGGGUAAAAUGAUAAUUUUAAAUUUUUUUAAAAAUUAUGAUUUUAUAGUAAAAAAAUAUUAAUUAAUCUAAUUAAUUAACAUGAAUUUAUCCUACACUAGGAUCUAAAUAUGAUAUAUAGCAUGCAUUCAUUUAAAUUUGAAAUUCAAAUUCGAACAGUAAACACUUUACUGUAAUGUGUUCAGAACACAAUAUCUUUGUGCGGAUAGUAGAUCGCCGCAAUCUGAUCACCGUUGGG